rnacentral:ncRNA from 2 species
AACUGUCUUCAGGGCAGGGUGAAAUUCCCGACCGGCGGUGAUUGAUAUCAUAAAAGUCAAAAGUCCGCGAGCAAAAGCUGAUGUGGUGAAAAUCCACAACCGACAGUAAAGUCUGGAUGGGAGGAGACCGGG